CCUACGGGGGGCAGCAGUGGGGAAUAUUGGACAAUGGGGGGAACCCUGAUCCAGCCAUGCCGCGUGUGUGAAGAAGGCCCUCGGGUUGUAAAGCACUUUCAGUGAGGAAGAACGCCUGGUGGUUAAUACCCAUCAGGAAAGACAUCACUCACAGAAGAAGCACCGGCUAACUCCGUGCCAGCAGCCGCGGUAAUACGGAGGGUGCGAGCGUUAAUCGGAAUUACUGGGCGUAAAGCGCGCGUAGGUGGCUUGAUAAGCCGGUUGUGAAAGCCCCGGGCUCAACCUGGGAACGGCAUCCGGAACUGUCAAGCUAGAGUGCAGGAGAGGAAGGUAGAAUUCCCGGUGUAGCGGUGAAAUGCGUAGGGAUCGGGAGGAAUACCAGUGGCGAAGGCGGCCUUCUGGACUGACACUGACACUGAGGUGCGAAAGCGUGGGUAGCAAACAGGAUUAGAUACCCUUGUAGUC
rnacentral:rRNA from 1 species